CUCAAAAGCUCUGGCAGCUUCCUCCUCAAAAUCGCAGGUGUGUUCAGUAUGUGUUCCUCAAAUGGCCCAGAAUCUAGUAAAGCAGCCUGACAUAUAUCCAGAAAGUAGGCCAUUUUCUGUAAUUUUCAUUACAAAUUGGAUAAAAAGCU